rnacentral:rRNA from 1 species
GUCUGCCMCUGAUUAGUUAAAUGGCCGCGGUAUAUUGACCGUGCAAAGGUAGCAUAAUCAUUAGUUUUUUAAUUGAAAGCUUGAAUGAAAGGCGUGAUGAAAAAAUUUCUGUCUCUGGGAAAAUUUAUUAGAAUUUUAUUUUUAGGUUAAAAGGCUUAAAUUUGCAUAGAAGACGAGAAGACCCUAUAGAGUUUUAUAUAGUUGUUAAUAUUUGGAAUUAUAGGAAUAUAUGUUUUGAAGUUUAAGACUAUAAUUUGCUGGGGUGGUGGGAAAAUUUGAAAAACUUUUCUUUAAAUAGUAUAUUUAUUUGUAAGUGUAUGAUCCUAGAAUUUAGAUUAUAAGAUUGAAUUACCUUAGGGAUAACAGCGUUAUUUUUUCUAGAGUACUUAUCGAAGAAAAGGAUUGCGACCUCGAUGUUGGAUUAAAAUUUACUUUUGGAGGAGAGGCUAAAAAGUUAAGUCUGUUCGACUUUUAAAAUUUUACAUGAUCUGAGUUUAAACCGGUGUGAG